UUCCCGUAUGCGAGAGUCGCCGCAACUUGGCCCUUGCAUCUCUAAUAGCAUUCUCGGGGUAGAAUUGUUUCUUCAAAUCUUCCUUGAAUUCUCCCCACGAGCUAAUGGUGCAUGUACCCUUUUCCAUGUCGCCACUCCUCCUUCUCCACCACAACAUUGCGGUAUCUUCUAAGAAGAGUGCGGCAGCGUCAACUUUCCUGGCUUCUUCUACUAAGCCAAGUGCCUUGAAGUAUUGCUCCAAGCUCCAUAGGAAGUUAUCGAUUUCCUUCGCAUUCCUCGAGCCUUUAUAAGCUUUAGGCUUCGGAACAUCUAACUUCGAUGAAGUGGAGACUAUCAUCGGCA
rnacentral:lncRNA from 1 species